rnacentral:lncRNA from 1 species
GAUAGAAACUCAGCUCAGGCCCAAUUAAGUGAAAAAAGCAAACUCCCAAACUCAGUUACCUAACUGAGAAGUUGAGGGUGCAUUUAGCUCUCACCCUGAUUGUAUUCAGAGCCUUAACUGAGGUCCUUAAGUUUUUCUCCUUUCCUUUUCUUCAUUCCUUGGCUUGCCUUUAUUUUCAGGAAGCCUCUCUUCACCUUUGGGGCAGGACGCCUGUCAGCAAUUCCAGACAUACUCUUCAGGGCAACAUCCCCAGGGAAAAUUACCUUGUUAACUACAGAAAAGAAAUCCUAUGGAGGACUUAAAAUGAUUUUGCUUGGGUCACACUUUCCUUUGUGUGACUGAAGAUGGGGUUAAUUUUAUUGACCAAGUGCAGGACACAUGAUAUACGCCUGUAUGAGAGAAAUGUUGAAAGUGGACUCACCGUUCAAUAUGAGAGAGGUGCCAAAUGAGGGAAAGAACCAGUUAUGGAGGAGAAGCAGUGGAGUCUGGGCAAGUUGCCCAAAGGGACACUUGAGUUAACCUUCAUAUUGAAAUUGAAAAUGUGAAUAAUUUUUUUUUUCUGGAUCCCAA